rnacentral:pre_miRNA from 1 species
ACAACAUUCGGACCGUCGGUCUAACGAGCAAUACGUUCCGCUCGGUGGAAGAACUUCCUUCCGUCGU